rnacentral:rRNA from 1 species
UUAAUUUAUAAAUUAUUUAAUUUUUUUAAUUUUUUUUAUUUAAAAUAAUAUUUUUGUUAGUAUAUUUAUAGAACUUUUUAAUUUUAAUUAUAUUUUAUUGUACUGUAAAGGAUUUUUUAAAUUAUAUAUAAGAACAUAUUUAUAUGGUACCUUUUGUAUCAGGGUUUAUUAACAAAUUAUUAUUUAUAUAAUAUUCCCGAAAUGUUAGGAGUUAAAUUAUAAUUAAAUUUUAUGUAAUAAAAUAAUUUUAAAUUAUAAUUUGGUAAAUAUAUUUUAUUCAACUAAUAAUAUCUGGUUCUUUAAUAAAUAAAUUAAAUUUAAAAUUAACAAGUUAAAAUUAUCUUUUAUUUAUAAUAAUUUGUUAAUUAAAAAUGAUAAGGGAUUAGCUUUAUUAUUGUUUUAUAAUUUCUAAUAAUAAAAGAUAUAGUAGGUUUAAAAACAUCCAUCUUUAAUUUCGUUAUAGUUUAUUCUUUUUAUUAAUUUAUUUAUUUUUAAAUUUAAAUUUUUAUUAAAGUGAUAAAUAAAAUUAUUAUUUUUAUGUAAUAAUGAUAAAAUUAGUAAUUUUAAAAACAUAAAUAUAGUAAUUCGGCAAAUAUUAUUUCCGCCUGUUUAACAAAAACAUGUCUUGAAGGUUUUAAUUUUAAGUCUAUCCUGCUCAAUGAUUAAAUAAUUAAAUAGCCGCAGUAUCUUAACUGUGCAAAGGUAGCAUAAUCAUUUGUCUUUUAAUUGAAGGCUUGUAUGAAUGGUUGGACGAGAUAUAAACUUUCUUUAUUUAUUUUUUAUGAAUUUUAUUUUUAAGUAAAAAAGCUUAAAUUUAUUUGCAAGACGAGAAGACCCUAUAGAAUUUUAUUAUAAUAUUAAUUAUAUAUAUUAUAAUUUUUUAUUUAUAAUUAAUAUUAUAAUUUUGUUGGGGUGACAUUGAAAUUUUCACAACUUUCAUUUAUAAUUUUUCAUAAAUUAAUGUUUAUAUUGAUCCUGUAUUAUGGAUUAAUAGAUUAAAUUACCUUAGGGAUAACAGCGUAAUUUUUUCUGAGAGUUCAUAUCGAUGAAUAAAGUUUGCGACCUCGAUGUUGGAUUAAAGUUAGACUUAAGUGCAGAAGCUUAAAUUACUAGGUCUGUUCGACCUUUAAAUCUUUACAUGAUCUGAGUUCAGACCGGCGUGAGCCAGGUUGGUUUCUAUCUGCAAUUCAUUAUCUAAUUUUUUAGUACGAAAGGACCAAAAAUUAAUAAUAUUUAUUAUUAAUUAUGAUUAAUAUU